UGGUAAUUUGUAUAGGCAUAUUGCUAGUGUUUUUUAUAUCUAGCUUUGUAUAUUUCCUUACAUUUGCUGAGAUUGGUAUCACUUCAGCCUAACAUGCUUCUUUCUAUAUCUGAACAGGGAGAGGUCAAGAGUGCAGAGCUCAUUGGUAAUGCCAUUGCCAACAAGCCAGCUUUCGUAGCAGUCACACAGAUUGAAGUCGCCAGGGAGAUUGCCCACAACAUCUCAGCCUCCAACAACAAGGUUUUCCUGGACUUGCGUGACCUGCUGGUUGGGCUCCAGUUGCCCAAGAUCUUGGGCAGCAAGAAGAAAUAAGACAGUUUCCUGUCACACAUGUUAUGGUUACCAUCCGCCGUCUCCAUCGAAGAAGUACUCUUGAGGGGAACAAACACAUAGUUUCUUGCAUUCCGACUGAAAACAACAAAGACACCUUGCUACAGUGAACUGUUGGUGCGCUUUUCGAACGAACCUGUCAGCUACUAUUGCUGUUCAUAGCUAUGGUGGGAAUUGGUCUUUGUGUUCUUACACAACCCAUGCUGGAGAGACUACCAACUAUGUACAGGACCCUGGGGGAGAACUAUAAUGAGAGAGUGUUGCCUUCUUCAUCAUAUAUUUUCAUUACACUUGUUGAGUACUGAACAUUUGAACCUACCGCUGGUAUUCAUGUGCAUUCCAUUUGUUGAGUUUAUCAUACAUGGUUUCCAUACGACUUCACCUAUUUGCGAUGUCCAUAGUUUCAGACUUUCAGUACUGGUUAGUACAUGCAUAUUGCUAGUGCUGUUUAUGUCUUCAUAUCUUCAUAUAUCAUAUAUGUUACUCACUGCAUUUACCGACUUUCGGACCACUUGAGCUCGAGUCUAGUAAUUUUGCACAUUUCAUAUGGUAGUCGAUUUCUGUGUCCAUGGUUUAGGUUUAGACUUUCAGUGGAACGUUCAUAUGACAUUACAUAAUUUCCGCCAUCCAGUGGUAUGUUCGGAUGACUGAACAUAGUUUCAGACUUCAAGUUCGUUCAUACGACUGAAUAUAGUUCGUACCAGCGACCAUCGUUUCAAACUUAACAUUUUCUAUCUUCAUAGUGUCACUUCCAGUGGUAGUUAGUAUAGGCAUAUUGCUAGUGCUGUUUGUAUCUUCAUAGCUUUGUAUAUUUCCUUGCAUUUGCUGAGUUUAGUUGCACUUGAGCCUAACACUUGUUAGACAUUUGUAUAUGUCUUCUUCAAACUAGUAACCACCGCCCCACGCACAGAUCUGUGGAUCUCAGCCGCCCGUAAUGCGUGCGAUGGGUUUGCUUACUCCUUCCUGUUUUUUCUGUCCCGAUUGUGGUGGAUCCUUUCACGUUUGAUUUCUGGUCAGUUUUGGUGUGCUCCGUGCAGGUCUACCCAGAGGGGACUCAGAUCGUCAUCCCGUGAUUUGUGAGGCCGAUCAUCUAUGACGUCCGUGCACAACCCAACCUCGUGGAGAGCACCUCUGGCCUCCGGGAGCCGGCUCCAGAUGGUGCGAACUGGUCUUCGUGUCCUUACAUGACCCAUGCCAGAGAGACUACCAUGUACAGGACCCGGGGGAGAACUACAAUGAGAGAGUGUUUCCUUCAAUCAUUCAUAAACAUUCAAAGUUGUGGUUGCCCAAUACAGAGAGAGGGAGAUCAGGAAUAUUCUGACAGAGAGGGCCAGAAAUUUCAUUACCAUUCUCAGUUUUGGUAAAGAGUUGGUUCAUGCCAUUGAAGCCAAACAGUAUGCUGUGCAGGAAGCUGAGCAUGCCAAGCUCAUUGUUGAGAAGGACGAGGAAGACAAGAAAAGUGCAAUUAUCAGGGCACAGAUGAGCAAAACAGAUACUAGAUAAUUUCUCUUUCAUACAACUUCACCUACUUUCCCUGUCCUUGUUAAUGACAACUUCAGGUACGGUCACAAUGCAGCUACAGAGAAGUACGAGGAUUUGAUGGCUGCUAGUAUGAUUGAUCCUACCAACGUACAGGGAAGUACUCCCUCCGUCCCAAAUUAAGUGACUCAACUUUGUACUAACUUUAGUGCAAAUUUAGUACACAGUUGAGUCAUUUAUUUUGGGACAGAGGGAUUAUUAUAUGCAUGUUCCUCUUUUCCGAGGGAUGCUUAGCUGUCUUCGCACUACCUUGCAGUCAACAACACCUGAUCCUGUAGCUGCAAGAGAUCUCCAUCCCUCAAUCCCUCCCUCCUUAAUCUUUCAUAGAUCUCAUAGCAGAUUGUUUUGUUAUAUACAUCCAACUUGAUCUAGCAGCAAAUGGAUUGUUUUCUAUGGUUAA